GACGAACGCUGGCGGCGUGCUUAACACAUGCAAGUCGAACGAAGAGCGAUGGACGCUUGCUUCGAUCAAUCUUAGUUGCGAAAGGGGGAGGUAAGAGGAAUCAACCUUCCCUCCAGAGGGGGACAACAGUUGGAAACGACUGCUAAUACCGCAUACGAUCUAAUCUCUGCAUCGAGGAUAGAUGAAAGGUGGCUGCUACGUGUAAGCUAUCACUGACGGCGGGGAAUGCGUCUGAUUAGCUAGUUGGAUGGGUAAGGGCCGACCAAGGCGAUGCUCAGUAGCCGGUCGGAGUGGGUGAACGGCCACUUUCAGACGGAGACACGGCCCAGACUCCUACGUGAGGCAGCAGUGGGGAAGCUUCCGCAAUGGACGAAAGUCUGACGGAGCAACGCCGCGCGAGUGAUGGCGGCCGUCGUGUUGUAAAGCUCUGUUAAUCGGGACGAAAGGCCUUCUUGCGAAUAGGGAGAAGGAUUGACGGUACCGGAAUAGAAAGCCACGGCUAACUACGUG
rnacentral:rRNA from 1 species